rnacentral:rRNA from 1 species
CAGCUCUCCGAGUGGUAGGGAUGAUUAUUGGGCUUAAAGCGUCCGUAGCUGGCUUAGCAAGUCUCCUGUUAAAUUCGGCGACCUAAUCGUCGAGCCGCGGGAGAUACUACUAGGCUAGGUGGCGGGAGAGGCCGACGGUAUUCUCGGGGUAGGGGUGAAAUCCUAUAAUCCCGGGAGGACCACCAGUGGCGAAGGCUGUCGGCUAGAACGCGCUCGACGGUGAGGGACGAAAGCUGGGGGAGCGAACCGGAUUAGAUACCCGCGUAGUCC